rnacentral:lncRNA from 1 species
GGGCCAGAAACCCUAGUUUUGAAAAGAGGAACAAGAACGUUUGAAAACUUGAAUUAAUCGAAGAUGUCGAGUAAUAAGUAGUGUAGAAAACAAAGAUUAAACCAAAAAAUCAUUUAAAAUACAUGGAUUCAGAGGUUUAGGAAAAAACUAGGGUUUGCAAUAAAAUCAGUGAGGUGAGAAACCUGGCAGUGAAACUCGUUAAUAAUGAAGUUUAAAGCAUCAUCAGACCAAAACCCAUCGGAGAAAGGCCAAAAACAGACCCAGACGAGGCUCCAGUGACCAUCUUUCAUGGUGGAAGCUACUGGGGCUUCAAAUCUUGGAGAGAAGCAAUGAUAUAGGAUUCCAUGGCGACUAGAGGACGAGAGAAGUGAGGACGGACUAUGGCCGGAGAGGCGAUGAAGCCCAUCGGAGAAGAAAGAGAGAACUAGAAGGUUCUAGAGAGAAGGGAGAGCAAGUGUUAUAGAGAGAGACAGAGUGUGUGUGUGUGUCUG